rnacentral:misc_RNA from 1 species
GAUGAGAACGCAGCGAAAUGCGAUAACUAAUGUGAAUUGCAGAAUUCAGUGAAUCAUCGAGUCUUUGAACGCACAUUGCGCCCCCUGGUAUUCCGGGGGGCAUGCCUGUCCGAGCGUCAUUGCUGCCCUCAAGCACGGCUUGUGUGUUGGGCCCCCGUCCCCGGUUUCCCCCGGGGACGGGCCCGAAAGGCAGCGGCGGCACCGCGUCCGGUCCUCGAGCGUAUGGGGCUUUGUCACCCGCUCUGUAGGCCCGGCCGGCGCCAGCCGACACCCAACUUUAUUUCUAAGGUUGACCUCGGAUCAGGUAGGGAUACCCGCUGAACUUAAGCAUAUCAAUAAGCGGAGGA